rnacentral:rRNA from 1 species
UACGGGGUAAACCUGAGAAACCCGAAAGGUCGAAAGAKGAAAUUCAUUCGCGUUUCGAUCGUUGAAGUUGAACGUUUGUAUGACGGAUGAUGUGUUUCGGCGCAUGAGUCUGCAUCUUAUGUUCUUCGAAUCGAUGUCGAACGCGUGCACUUUUCCUCUAGUAGGACGUCGUGAUCCGUUGGGUGUCUGUCUAAGACUCGGGGUGGAGCCCACGUGAUUUUUUGAUUAUGUGGACCCUCGAUGUUCCGACAGACUCGCUCGACGGUAUAAAUAUGGCGCGGGGCCGCUACAUUAGUUAGCGUUCGGCCCGCAGCAAGCACGUUUCGUGUUUGACGGCGAUCGGACCUAGUGCCGAUUCUGUCCCGGAACGACUGUUGGUUGCGGUGUUCUCGAACAGACCUCGAUUUGAAACGCCGAUCAACGACGCUAUAGAUUUGGGUACUUUCAGGACCCGUCUUGAAACACGGACCAAGGAGUCUAGCAUGUGCGCGAGUCAUUGGGACAUAACUAAACCUAAAGGCGUAAUGAAAGUAAAGGUUUACCUUGCGUAGACCGAGGGAGGAUGAGCGAUUUGCCCUUAAAAGUGAUCGCUUCGCACUCCCGGGGCGUCUCGUUCUCAUUGCGAGAAGAGGCGCACCAAGAGCGUACACGCUGGGACCCGAAAGAUGGUGAACUAUGCCUGGUCAGGACGAAGUCAGGGGAAACCCUGAUGGAGGUCCGUAGCGAUUCUGACGUGCAAAUCGAUCGUCGGAACKGGUAUAGGGGCGAAAGACUAAUCGAACCAUCUAGUAGCUGGU